CCGUAGUCUCUAGAGAGUUUGUAUCCUGGCUCAGAGUGAACGCUAGCGGAGGCUAACACAUGCAAGCCGAGCGGUGAGAUCUUUCGGGAUCUUGAGAGCGGCGUACGGUGCGGAACACGUGUGCAACCUGCUUUAUCUGGGGAUAGCCUUUCGAAGGAAGAUUAAUACCCCAUAAUAUACUGGAUGGCAUCAUUCGGUAUUGAAAACUCCGGUGGAUAGAGAUGGGCACGCGCAAGAUUAGAUAGUUGGUGAGGUAACGGCUCACCAAGUCUACGAUCUUUAGGGGGCCUGAGAGGGUGAUCCCCCACACUGGUACUGAGACACGGACCAGACUCCUACGGGAGGCAGAAGUGAGGAAUAUUGGACAAUGGGUGAGAGCCUGAUCCAGCCAUCCCGCGUGAAGGACGACGGCCCUAUGGGUUGUAAACUUCUUUUGUAUAGGGAUAAACCUACCCUCGUGAGGGUAGCUGAAGGUACUAUACGAAUAAGCACCGGCUAACUCCGUG
rnacentral:rRNA from 1 species